GACAGAGGGUGCAAACGUUGUUCGGAAUUACUGGGCGUAAAGCGCGUGUAGGCGGCUAAGUAAGUCGGGCGUGAAAUCCCACGGCUCAACCGUGGAAGUGCACUCGAAACUGCAUAGCUAGAGUCCUGGAGAGGAAGGUGGAUGCUUGGUGUAGAGGUGAAAUUCGUAGAUAUCAAGCGGAACACCGGUGGCGAAGGCGGCCUUCUGGACAGUGACUGACGCUGAGACGCGAAAGCGUGGGGAGCAAACAGGG
rnacentral:rRNA from 1 species